AUUGAACGCUGGCGGCAGGCCUAACACAUGCAAGUCGAGCGAGCGGCGGACGGGUGAGUAAUGUCUUGGAAACUGCCUGAUGGCGGGGGAUAACUACUGGAAACGGUCGCUAAUACCGCAUACCAUCAGAUGUGCCCAGAUGGGAUUAGCUAGUAGGUGGGGUAACGGCUCACCUAGGCGACGAUCCCUCGCUGGUCUGAGAGGAUGACCAGCCACACUGGAACGGAGACACGGGCCAGACUCCUACGGGAGGCAGCAGUGGGGAAUAUUGCACAAUGGGCGCAAGCCUGAUGCAGCCAUGCCGCGGGUGUGAAGAAGGCCUUCGGGUUGUAAAGCACUUUCAGCGGGGAGGCGUUACCCGCAGAAGAAGCACCGGCUAACUCCGUGCCAGCAGCCGCGGUAAUAC
rnacentral:rRNA from 1 species